UCUUAGGUGACUGAGUUAUAAGUGCUAGAUUUUUGAUCUAGAGACGGUGAGUAAUAAACCUCUAAGAU
rnacentral:tRNA from 1 species